rnacentral:rRNA from 1 species
GACGAACGCUGGCGGCGUGCUUGACACAUGCAAGUCGAACGGACAGACAGAGAGCUUGCUCUCUUGAAGUUAGUGGCGAACGGGUGAGUAACGCGUAAUCAACCCGCCCUUCAGAGGGGGAUAACAACGGGAAACCGUUGCUAAUACCGCGUACGAUUCAUGAACGGCAUCGUUUAUGAAUGAAAGGUGGCCUCUAUGUAUAAGCUAUCGCUGAAGGAGGGGAUUGCGUCUGAUUAGCUAGUUGGAGGGGUAACGGCCAACCAAGGCAAUGAUCAGUAGCCGGUCUGAGAGGAUGAACGGCCACAUUGGGACUGAGACACGGCCCAAACUCCUACGGGAGGCAGCAGUGGGGAAUCUUCCGCAAUGGACGAAAGUCUGACGGAGCAACGCCGCGUGAGUGAUGAAGGUCUUCGGAUUGUAAAGCUCUGUUAAUCGGGACGAAAGAGUUCUGCGUGAAUAAUGCAGAAAAGUGACGGUACCGGAAUAGAAAGCCACGGCUAACUACGUGCCAGCCGCCGCCGUAA